rnacentral:rRNA from 1 species
UCGCUACUACCGAUUGAACGGCUUAGUGAGUUUCGAGGAUUUGGGUACUGUUCGGUUUCACGACCGUCAGUAUCUGGAGAGCAGACACAAACUUGGUCGUUUAGAGGAAGGUG